rnacentral:rRNA from 1 species
GUGGGUAGUUUAACCUUUCGGGGAGGACGCUCACCACUUUGUGGUUCAUGACUGGGGUGAAGUCGUAACAAGGUAGCCCUAGGGGAACCUGGGGCUGGAUCACCUCCUUAUACGAAGAUA